GAAGGGAUCAUUUGAUAGUAGAUGUAGCCCUCUUGGCAGGUCCUUAAUUGAUUCUAGAUGAGGAGAGCAAUGAAGACCUCCAUUAGAGUUUCAAUCCUGUUCUUGGGGCUGCAGCUGGACUGGGUCAGCCUUGGAGAGAAGGUGGAGCAGAGUCCUACCCUGAGUGUCCAGGAGGGAAACAGCUCUGUUAUCACCUGCUCUUAUACAGACAGUACCUCAGACUACUUCCCUUGGUAUAAGCAAGAACCUGGAAAAGGUCUCCAGUUCCUUACAUACAUUCGAGCAAAUGGGGUCAAGCAGGAAGAAGAAAGACUCACUGUCUCAUUGAAUAAGACAGCCAAGCAUUUCUCCCUGCACAUCGCAGUCACCCAGCCUGAAGACUCAGCUGUCUACUUCUGUGCAGCAAGUGCACACUGCUUCUGAGGCACCUUCUCCCUGUACUCAUUCCUGUGACCAGGGCAGCUCCCUUCCUUUGGCACAAACCUUCAAGUAUAAGAGUAAUGCCAAAUCAGUAGAUGUUUAUUAAAGAAAAAAAAAGGAAAAUUUGGUAUUUAUUCAUAAUUACAAUUUUAACUUUGAAUUAACUUAUAAAUUAGUGUGUGAAGGACAAAACUUAAUGUGCAUAUUGGAUACUUUGAUUAAGAACAUAUUAUUUGUUUUCAUUUAUGAAUAUCUUUUAAUCUCAGUAAAGCACUGUUGUUUAAAAUAAAUUUAUUCCUAGGUUUGUAAUGUUCUGUUACCAUUAUAAUUGAAAUAUUUCUUUCUGAGGAAUAUGGGAAAUUUUUAAAAUGUUUUCUCACUCUCCUUGUAUUAUUAGUAGAUUGACAAAAGUCUUUUGGACUAACAGUUAGGUUAGUGAUAAUUUGCUACAAAUCUCCCUCCCUCAUCUUCAUGCUUUGACUGGAUUAAACAUUACUAACCACAAAUUUCUCCUUUAAAAAUUACAUUAGUGUUGUAUAUAAACCAAUGGAUUGGAAAAUAUACAUGUAUAAUUAACUCUCUAAUUCACCCACAUCUGGUCAAGGGUGGGCUAGUUCUUCCUUUUUUUUCUUUUAGUGCCACACCCUUAGCAUAUGGAGGUUCCCAGGCCAGAGGCUGAAUUGGAGCUGAAUAGAACCAUACAAUACAUAACCUCUUGAGAUGUCUGAAUCUUGGUUAGAUGAAGCACAUGCCACUGGGUACAUAAAUGGUCUCCAUACCUGUCACCACGCUGUGUUUUCUACCCCUGAUGUUUUGAAACUUAAAGUUAUUUUUAGGAGUUCCCAUG